rnacentral:rRNA from 1 species
AGUGAACGCUGGCGGUAGGCCUAACACAUGCAAGUCGAACGGCAGCACAGUAAGAGCUUGCUCUUACGGGUGGCGAGUGGCGGACGGGUGAGGAAUACAUCGGAAUCUACUUUUUCGUGGGGGAUAACGUAGGGAAACUUACGCUAAUACAGCAUACGACCUACGGGUGAAAGCAGGGGAUCUUCGGACCUUGCGCGAUUGAAUGAGCCGAUGUCGGAUUAGCUAGUUGGCGGGGUAAAGGCCCACCAAGGCGACGAUCCGUAGCUGGUCUGAGAGGAUGAUCAGCCACACUGGAACUGAGACACGGUCCAGACUCCUACAGGAGGCAGCAGUGGGGAAUAUUGGACAAUGGGCGCAAGCCUGAUCCAGCCAUACCGCGUGGGUGAAGAAGGCCUUCGGGUUGUAAAGCCCUUUUGUUGGGAAAGAAAAGCAGCAGGUUAAUACCCCGCUGUUCUGACGGUACCCAAAGAAUAAGCACCGGCUAACUUCGUG